CUUUAGAAAAAUCUCUCGCUGGCGAAUGAACAGGCGUUACAGGCGGCAAUCAAAGAUAUCCACAAUAUGCAUUUCAUGUCAGCGAUGGGAGAGUUGUGUUAAAAAAAAGCAUAUAAACGUUUAUAUAUAACCAUUUACCAUGCCUCUGCCAUAAUGGUUUAUCUCAUUAUCUUAGGAUUCAUAGAUAAAUUAAGUUUUAUUAACGUUCCCACAUUGCUUUAUUCCAAUGGUUGUUUGUUUAUGAAAUGGUACCUAAAACUCCCAUUUCCUUCUUGUCUCGUGCUGUCAUACCUACAAAUGGUAUUUAACCUUGUGACCGCCAAUUAUAAUAACCAAAAAUGACAUGCACACGCCAACACCAUUCUUACAAUAUAAUGACAGCGCAUAGCAUUUCUGAGGCUAUAGAUACAAAAACUCACGAAGCCAGGGGUUUUGGCGUUCAGAGGGUUGAUACCUGUUAACUAAGUGAUAUUAAUUUAAUUCCUUUCUUUUUCAGAAUGAAGAAUCAAGAUGUGAUUAAUAGUUAUGUAAUAUAAAUAUCAGCUGUUACGCUGAAAUUGAAGCAAGAGGGUAUAAUAAGAUAAGCCAGUUAGCAUAGCAAAUAAUACGAGUAAUAAUAAAGUAUUUUGUACAUUCA